GUCUGCGUGGCUCAGUUGGUUAGAGCGUUGGUCUCAUAUCCUCAUAUGACAUGACUGUAAACAGUCUGGCCAUCCAAAGGUCGAGAGUUCGAGUCUCUCCGCGGACA
rfam:Rhynchosporium commune strain TK7 genome assembly, contig: RCO7_scaffold035